rnacentral:rRNA from 1 species
UACAGAGGAUGCAAGCGUUAUCCGGAAUGAUUGGGCGUAAAGCGUCUGUAGGUGGCUUUUUAAGUCCGCCGUCAAAUCCCAGGGCUCAACUCUGGACAGGCGGUGGAAACUACCAAGCUGGAGUACGGUAGGGGCAGGCGGAAUUCCGGGUGUAGCGGUGGAAUGCGUAGAGAUCCGGAAGAACACCGGUGGCGAAGGCGGCCUGCUGGGCAGUAGCUGACGCUGAGGCGCGACAGCGUGGGGAGCAAACAGG